GCGCUUGUAGCUCAGCUGGAUAGAGCACUUCCCUCCUAAGGAAGGGGUCGUACGUUCGAAUCGUAUCAAGCGCGCCA
rnacentral:tRNA from 1 species